rnacentral:rRNA from 1 species
UACAGAGGGUGCAAGCGUUGUCCGGAAUCACUGGGCGUAAAGGGCGCGUAGGCGGUUUGUACAGUCAGAUGUGAAAUUCCCGGGCUCAACCUGGGGGCUGCAUUUGAUACGUGCGGACUUGAGUGGGGAAGAGGGUCGUGGAAUUCCCAGUGUAGAGGUGAAAUUCGUAGAUAUUGGGAAGAACACCGGUGGCGAAGGCGGCGACCUGGUCCUUGACUGACGCUGAGGCGCGAAAGCGUGGGGAGCAAACAGG